rnacentral:rRNA from 1 species
CCUACGGGUGGCAGCAGUGGGGAAUAUUGCACAAUGGGGGGAACCCUGAUCCAGCGACGCCGCGUGCGUGAAGAAGUAUUUCGGUAUGUAAAGCUCUAUCAGCAGGGCAGAAAAUGACGGUACCUGACUAAGAAGCCCCGGCUAACUACGUGACAGCCGCCGCGGUAAUACGUAGGGGGCAAUGGUUAUCCGGAUUUACUGGGUGUAAAGUGAGCGUAGACGGUGAAGCAAGUCUGAGGUUAAAGGUCGGGGGCCAACCCCGGGGCGGCAUUGGAAACUGUUGAACUGGAGUACAGGAGAGGUAAGCGGAAUUCCUAGUGUAGCGGUGAAAUGCGUAGAUAUUAGGAGGAACACCAGUGGCGAAGGCGGCUUACUGGACUGUAACUGACGCUGAGGCUCGAAAGCGUGGGGAGCAAACAGGAUUAGAUACCCCAGUAGUC